ncrna:Actinomyces sp. oral taxon 849 str. F0330 Actinomyces-1 RNA
ACUGCCGCCGGACGGAACCGGUCACGAGGGUUGGGGAGCCCGUUGACUGACAGGUAUCCGAGUUCGGAACGGGUCUUAGGGAGCCCGGACUGGACGUUCUGGCGAAGGAG